rnacentral:rRNA from 1 species
UACGGGGGGGGGCAAGCGUUGUUCGGAAUUACUGGGCGUAAAGGGCUCGUAGGCGGCCAACUAAGUCGGAUGUGAAAUCCCCAGGCUUAACCUGGGAACUGCAUCCGAUACUGGAUGGCUUGAAUUCGGGAGAGGGAUGCAGAAUUCCAGGUGUAGCGGUGAAAUGCGUAGAUAUCUGGAGGAACACCUGCGGCGAAGGCGACUACCUGGCCUGUUCUUGACGCUGAGGCGCGAAAGCUAGGGGAGCAAACGGG